GUCGGGAGCUGGCUCGCAUAUCUGAAGAGCCGACUCUAUUUUUACAAAUUUAGCCUAUAGAAAUUAAAUAAUUAUGUAAUAAAAAUUGAAAUAUUAUAGUCAAAGUCAUUUAAAGAGCCGUUUCUGAGUCAAAAGAGCCGAAUGCCCAUCACUACUAUGCGUGCUUUCGAACACCCGCCCAACUCUACCUCUGAUUGGCUUACAAUGACAUUUUACUCUACCUCAGCCAAUCGUCAGCAUUUAUGCGCUUGUCUCGUGCUCUGCCCACUAACCAAGGAAGAACAGUAAAAAAAGUAUUUGCCUCUCGCUCAGAGAUCUAGUUGGUCUGAUGAAAAAAAAAACAAAAAACA